AAUCAACGCUGGCGGCGUGCCUAACACAUGCAAGUCGAACGCGAAAGCCCCGCAAGGGGCAAGUAGAGUGGCAAACGGGUGAGUAACACGUGGGUGACCUGCCUUCGAGUGGGGGAUAACGUCCCGAAAGGGACGCUAAUACCGCAUGACAUCCUGCCUUUGGAGAGGUGGAGAUCAAAGCCGGGGAUCGCAAGACCUGGCGCUUGAAGAGGGGCCCGCGCCUGAUUAGCAGUUGGUGGGGUAACGGCUCACCAAGGCGACGAUCAGUAUCCGGCCUGAGAGGGCGGACGGACACACUGGGACUGAGACACGGCCCAGACUCCUACGGGAGGCAGCAGUGGGGAAUUGUUCGCAAUGGGCGCAAGCCUGACGACGCAACGCCGCGUGGAGGACGAAGAUCUUCGGGUCGUAAACUCCUGUCGAGCGGGACGAACGCUUCGCGGAUGAAUACUCCGCGGAAUUGACGGUACCGCUAAAGGAAGCCCCGG
rnacentral:rRNA from 1 species